rnacentral:rRNA from 1 species
GACGAACGCUGGCGGCGUGCUUAACACAUGCAAGUCGAACGGAAAGGCCUGCUUUCCCUUGUGGAUUGCGGGUGCUCGAGUGGCGAACGGGUGAGUAACACGUGAGUGAUCUGCCCCCAACUUGGGUGUAAGCCUGGGAAACUGGGUCUAAUUCCCGAUAGGACUGCAGGGUGGUGCCUGUGGUGGAAAACGAUUUUCUAGUGGUUGGGGAUGAGCUCGCGGCCUAUCAGCUUGUUGGUGGGGUAAUGGCCUACCAAGGCGGCGACGGGUAGCCAGCCUGAGAGGGUGGACGGCGACAUUGGGACUGAGAUACGGCCCAGACUCCUACGGGAGGCAGCAGUGGGGAAUAUUGCACAAUGGGCGGAAGCCUGAAGCAGCGACGCCGCGUGGGGGAUGACGGCCUUCGGGUUGUAAACUCCUUUCGACCGCGAGGAAGCCACCUGGUUGGAAGGGUGGUGACGGUAGUGGUAGAAGAAGCACCGGCUAACUACGUG